rnacentral:tRNA from 1 species
UUGGAUCACCUCCUUAACAGGGAGACACACAAUGAUUUUGAUGCUGAGUACUUUUAUUCUUAGGUCAAAAUCCUGUCACUUUAGGUCGAUCGGUACCUCAGCUUUUGAGUUUAUCGAAUUUGUAGCAAUGCAAAUGAGGAUGAAGUCAAUUCUUAGUUCCUAAACUUUGUCUAGGUCACACCCCAAAAGGGAUGAGACUCCUGGGCCAUUAGCUCAGGUGGUUAGAGCGCACCCCUGAUAAGGGUGAGGUCCCUGGUUCAAGUCCAGGAUGGCCCAUUCGGUGUUGGGGGUUUAGCUCAGUUGGUAGAGCGCCUGCUUUGCAAGCAGGAUGUCAGGAGUUCGAGUCUCCUAACCUCCACUGACCGAACGUGAUCCCCAGCUUCUUGACAUUAGGAGUUGAGUGAUUUUGGUGUGUGAUUUGGAUGUGUCCGCUGGCGACCCCAGCUUCCUGUCAUUCUGAGAUUCAAUUAUCAAUUGAAUUUUAGUUGAUAAGAUGCUGGGCUCGGAUCAAGCGUCAAAGUUAUCGCAAGAUGACUUUGAUGGUUUGAUUUGAAGUCUAGCAGAACCUUGACAACUGCAUAGGUGGGUCUGGAAAGAAGAAAGCAUCUCAUGGAUGAUGCAUUCUUUCAGCAUUGUUGCCCGAAAAGGUGAUGGUAAUGAGAGGAUGUGAAUUCUAGAGCAAGAGCCGAGACUCCAUGAUGUUCUUCUACUUGUGUCGAGCAAGCGGGAGUUUGAUUGUUGAUUCUGAAAGGAAUCAAUGAGAAUCUGUUUUCAACAACAGCAAGCAUGAUGGAGAUUAAUUUGGUCAAGCUACAAAGGGCUCACGGUGGAUACCUUGGCACACAGAGGCGAUGAAGGA